rnacentral:misc_RNA from 1 species
AAGUCGUAACAAGGUUUCCGUAGGUGAACCUGCGGAAGGAUCAUUAUUGAAUACAAGGACGCUCUCUAUAGAGGUCCAAUCUAUUUCAAUUCCACUUUACACUGUGCACAAACUUCUUUUUACACCAUUUUUAUACUCGAAAUAAGUUUAGGAUGUUUAAACUGUCUCUUAAUUGAGCAUAAAUAAAUAGCAAAACUUUCAGCAACGGAUCUCUUGGCUCUC